rnacentral:rRNA from 1 species
GACGAACGCUGGCGGCGUGCCUAAUACAUGCAAGUAGAACGCACAGGAUGCACCGUAGUUUACUACACCGUAUUCUGUGAGUUGCGAACGGGUGAGUAACGCGUAGGUAACCUGCCUGGUAGCGGGGGAUAACUAUUGGAAACGAUAGCUAAUACCGCAUAAGAACAUUUACUGCAUGGUAGAUGUUUAAAAGGUGCAAAUGCAUCACUACCAGAUGGACCUGCGUUGUAUUAGCUAGUAGGUGAGGUAACGGCUCACCUAGGCGACGAUACAUAGCCGACCUGAGAGGGUGAUCGGCCACACUGGGACUGAGACACGGCCCAGACUCCUACGGGAGGCAGCAGUAGGGAAUCUUCGGCAAUGGGGGGAACCCUGACCGAGCAACGCCGCGUGAGUGAAGAAGGUUUUCGGAUCGUAAAGCUCUGUUGUUAAGGAAGAACGAGUGUGAGAAUGGAAAGUUCAUACUGUGACGGUACUUAACCAGAAAGGAC